rnacentral:piRNA from 1 species
CAAAAAAACUACUUUCUCUUU